rnacentral:rRNA from 1 species
UACCAGCACCCCGAGUGGUCGGGGCGAUUAUUGGGCCUAAAGCAUCCGUAGCCGGCCUUACAAGUCCUCCGUUAAAUCCAGCUGCUUAACAGAUGGGCUGCGGAGGAUACUAUAAGACUAGGAGGCAGGAGAGGCAAGCGGUACUCAGUGGGUAGGGGUAAAAUCCGUUGAUCCAUUGAAGACCACCAGUGGCGAAGGCGGCUUGCCAGAAUGCGCUCGACGGUGAGGGAUGAAAGCUGGGGGAGCAAACCGGG